AAAGUCGACUUCAGUUAUACGGAAGCAAUACGACCGACCGGCAAACUAACGCUUAACUAGUGCUCAGCAAAAUUUUUUUUUUAGUUAAAACGACGACGACGACUCUUGUACUUUUUAGUUAAAGAAAAUAAUUAAAAUUUACGCAUAAAUAUAAACUAAAUAAAAAGCGCGUUUCUUUAGUUUUGGAUUUUUUGUUGUUUUUCAUUUUUCUUGUGUUCGUUUUACAGGCUGAAAAUAAAUAAAUAAUAAUUAUAAAGAAAGCUUUAAUUGUUGUUUUCUAAAGUGAUAAUUGAAAGUGUUACCAAUUAAAAUAGCCGAAGAAGAAGAAACUGAAAAAAAGGAAUAAAAGUUUAAAAGUAGAAAAAAAUCUAGGAAAAGAAGAUUGAAAUAAAAUAAAAAUUGAAGCAACAGCAAAUAACCUGUUUUUAGUGCCUAUUAUCGUUUUCUUAAAACAAAAAGUAAAACCUAAAAAGUUUUAAUUUCAUUUUGCAAUUCUAUAUCAUUUGAAAGGCUUUUUUGAAGUGACAAAAACAUCAUAAAAAAAACAACUUAAACAAAUAAGUAUCAACAUUAAUAAGUCCAGUUAUUUACUGUUUUAAAGUGUCUUUUGGUAAAAAAAAAAUCAAUUUAUUCCUAACUAAAACAAAGUCUGCCUGCCAAUAUUUAAUUUUUUCAAUUCUCAAAUUAAAAUC